rnacentral:rRNA from 1 species
UACGGAGGGUGCGAGCGUUGUUCGGAAUCACUGGGCGUAAAGGGCGUGUAGGCGGUCCGCUAAGUCUGAUGUGAAAGCCCGGGGCUCACCCCCGGAAGGGCAUUGGAAACUGACGGACUCGAGUCCCGAAGAGGAGGGUGGAAUUCCUGGUGUAGCGGUGAAAUGCGUAGAUAUCUGGAGGAACACCGGUGGCGAAGGCGGCAUCCUGGACCGAUAUUGACGCUGAGGCGCGAAAGCCAGGGGAGCAAACGGG